GUACAUUCAGUGUGCGAUGUCUUAGAAACAUAAACAUAAUUACUAAAUUCGGUAAAAUGGACAACCGUUGUUAUUGUUGUUCAUCAAAGUUCACUCUCUUCAGGAAGCCUGGAGUGUUUUUUAGUGGAGCAGUAGGAAAGGACAUAGAUUGCCGGAGCCGUGAACAAGCACCAUUCCAUGAGCUAUGUAUGAGCAGGACUUUCAACCACUCAACUCCGCUCACAUACUCUUGGUGGGGAUGCAUCCCAACCUAAUUUUAGAUAGUGCUACUUUUCAUAACCACAAGAGGCUGCUGUUUUUAACUCAUUCCCAGCUCACGGAAUAAGCUGCAUUGGAUGAGGCCAGUGGCUACAACAUACCUCCUGAGCACAGUGGUGCAAAAAACACAGAAAUGACAGCUGCCCACAAGUAACAGACACCAGUUCUAUCGUGUUCAUCAUCGAGGACCCCAGAAGCUGCCCUGGCCAGUCAGGCUUUAGACAGUGAUGAGGAUGAGCUUCCCUGGUGCUGCAUCUGUAAUCAGGAGACCUCCAUCCGCUGUCACACCUGUGAUGGGGAUCUUUUACUGCAACCGCUGCUUCAGUUUCCCCAGGGAGUGCCAUGAUAUGUAUGACAGGAAAGAGCACCACACAACUACAGUAGUUACACCUAAGAAAAACAAGAGGACGACGACGUGAGACUGCAGGGGCUGGCAUCAGUGUUUCUUGGAGUCACUCCAAAAGAUGUGUACUAUACCUUUUAAGAGGCUGGACAGUAUUCUUGGAAUUCUGCAGGAUCACAAAGAGAAGGCUUAUCCAAACACUACUACCUGUCUUUAGGGUUGAAAAAUUCCAGUAACUUUCCCAAUGUGCCCUGGUUUUCCAGAAAUCCUGGUUGGGAGAUUGCUGGAAUUAUGAGGGAAUAAGCAGGGGUGUAAAGUCCUUAAGUUAAAAAAAAAUAGUUGAAAAGUACUACUUAAGUAGUUUUUUGGGGUAUCUGUACUGUAAUUUACUAUUUAUAUUUUUGACAACUUUUACUUCACUACAUUCCUAAAGAAAAUAAUGUACUUUUUACUCCAUACAUUUUCCCUGACACCCAAAAGUACUUUUUAUUUUACUGGAUGACAUUCACUUGUACUUGAGACAUUUUCUAUUAAAGUAUCUUUACUAGG